rnacentral:rRNA from 1 species
GCGGCCGCUCUGUUUGAUCCCGGCGGAGGCCACUGCUAUCGGAGUUCGAUUAAGCCAUGCGAGUCGAGAGGUGCAAGACCUCGGCAUACUGCUCAGUAACACGUGGACAACCUAACCUAUGGAGGGGGAAUAACCCUGGGAAACUGGGGAUAAUACACCCAUAGACUAUGGAUGCUGGAAUGCUCUGUAGUUGAAAGGUCCGCCGCCAUAGGAUGGGUCUGCGGCCGAUUAGGUUGUUGUUGGGGUAACGGCCCAACAAGCCUGUAAUCGGUACGGGUUGUGGGAGCAAGAGCCCGGAGAUGGAUUCUGAGACACGAAUCCAGGCCCUACGGGGCGCAGCAGGCGCGAAAACUUUACAAUGCGGGAAACCGUGAUAAGGGAACUCCGAGUGCCCGUAAAAUCGGGCUGUCCAUCUGUUUAAAUAACAGGUGAAGAAAGGGCCGGGCAAGACCGGUGCCAGCCGCCGCGGUAAUACCGGCGGCUCGAGUGGUGGCCGCUAUUACUGGGCUUAAAGCGUUCGUAGCUGGGCUGUUAAGUCCCCUGGGAAAUCCACCGGCUCAACCGAUGGGCGUUCAGGGGAUACUGGCAGCCUAGGGACCGGGAGAGGUGAGGGGUACUCCAGGGGUAGGAGUGAAAUCCUGUAAUCCUUGGGGGACCACCUGUGGCGAAGGCGUCUCACUAGAACGGCUCCGACAGUGAGGAACGAAAGCUGGGGGAGCAAACCGGAUUAGAUACCCGGGUAGUCCCAGCUGUAAACGAUGCGCGUUAGGUGUAUCGGUGACCACGAGUCACCGAGGUGCCGAAGAGAAAUCGUGAAACGUGCCGCCUGGGAAGUACGGUCGCAAGGCUGAAACUUAAAGGAAUUGGCGGGGGAGCACCACAACGGGUGGAGCCUGCGGUUUAAUCGGACUCAACGCCGGAAAUCUCACCGGAUAAGACAGCUGGAUGAUAGUCGGGCUGAAGACUCUACUUGGCUAGCUGAGAGGAGGUGCAUGGCCGUCGUCAGUUCGUACUGUGAAGCAUCCUGUUAAGUCAGGCAACGAGCGAGACCC